UCUAUCUCCUCGCGGAUCUGUACUAGAAACAUCCAUGUCGUCUAAAGAGACGUCAGCUUCGCAGUCAUAGAAUGUGUUUCUCUCUUCAUUCAUAUCUGUAGUACGUUCAUCCUCAGCAUGUAUUUCUUCAAGAACAUCAGCAACUGUUUGAGCGUCUUUCCCAGUCGCCCGAUCUCUUGCGUAUAUGGCAGUAAGCUGGUUGUAGUAAGGGAAAGAAUGAUGUCUGAACUGAGAGGCUUCUUUGUGACUCUAAAAAAAAUGAGGAAAUCAUAUUAGUUAUAAGUUUUGUAAAAA
rnacentral:lncRNA from 1 species